rnacentral:rRNA from 1 species
UACAGAGGUCUCAAGCGUUGUUCGGAUUCAUUGGGCGUAAAGGGUGCGUAGGCGGCGCGGUAAGUCGGGUGUGAAAUCUCGGAGCUUAACUCCGAAACUGCAUUCGAUACUGCCGUGCUUGAGGACUGGAGAGGAGACUGGAAUUUACGGUGUAGCGGUGAAAUGCGUAGAUAUCGUAAGGAAGACCGGUGGCGAAGGCGGAUCUCUGGACAGUUACUGACACUGAGGCAACGAAGGCCCAGGGGGAGCAAAACGGGG